rnacentral:rRNA from 1 species
UGAGGAAUAUUGGGCAAUGCCCGCAAGGGUGACCCAGCAACGCCGCGUGGAGGAUGAAGGCCGUAAGGUUGUAAACUCCUGUUAGAGGGGACGAAUGAUUCCGGUAGAACCGGAAUUUGACUGUACCCUCAGAGAAAGCCCCGGCUAACUACGUGCCAGCAGCCGCGGUAAUACGUAGGGGGCAAGCGUUGUCCGGAUUUACUGGGUGUAAAGGGCGCGCAGGCGGAUUGACAAGUCAGAGGUGAAAUCCUGCAGCUUAACUGCAGAACUGCCUUUGAAACUGCCAAUCUUGAGUACGGAAGAGAGAGACGGAAUUCCAGGUGCAGUGGUGAAAUACGUAGAUAUCUGGAAGAACACCAGUUGCGAAGGCGGUCUCUUGGUCCGUUACUGACGCUCAGGCGCGAAAGCGUGGGUAGCAAACAGGAUUAGAUACCCUGGUAGUCCACGCUGUAAACGAUGAAUACUAGGUGUUGGGUCGACAAGAUUCAGUGCCGCAGU